UUCGGAUAUUUCAACUAUCUUCAAGCAGGUCUUUUGUGGAGACAAUAGUUGAGAUUUUUCUUCUAAUUUUGGCCCCCAGAUUAUGUGCCUAAUGAAGAGGAAGGAUCAAGGUCUCCACAAGCACGCCAUAGCAAUCAGGUUGAAGGUGAUGACAACGAGAUGGAAGUAAGGAGACAUAACAUUUAUAUGUCAAUUUGCCGACGAAAUUAGGAAUUAUCUAAUAUGUAGGAAGUUUUAUUUUUAUUGUCUUAAUUGUAAUUUAUUGUAUUUUUAUUGCAAUGACAUUUUCUUGCUCCA